GCCGAGGUGGCGGAAUGGCAUACGCGGACGGCUCAAAACCGUCUGUCCGAAAGGGCAUGGGGGUUCGAGUCCCCUCCUCGGUA
rnacentral:tRNA from 2 species